UACGUAGGGGGCAAGCGUUGUCCGGAAUCAUUGGGCGUAAAGCGCGUGUAGGCGGUUCGGUAAGUCCGCUGUGAAAGUCGGGGGCUCAACCCUCGGAUGCCGGUGGAUACUGUCGGGCUUGAGUACGGAAGAGGCGAGUGGAAUUCCUGGUGUAGCGGUGAAAUGCGCAGAUAUCAGGAGGAACACCGGUGGCGAAGGCGGCAUCCUGGACCGGUAUUGACGCUGAUGCGCGAAAGCCAGGGGAGCAAACGGG
rnacentral:rRNA from 1 species